UCUACUUCCGAAUCCUUUCAGCUUCACCCCUCGCGCUAUGGCAUGUAACCUGUAAAUUGCAUAUGAAUUUAAGAAAAAAAAUAAUAGUAUAUGAUAGACUUUGUCAAUGCCAUUUCAAUUUCUAACGUGUAAUAAAAAAAUAGUAAAGAUAACAGAAUUUCUUAAGAGUACACGGUAAUAAUUUAUAAUUUAUUAUUGUAAACAUUAAAAACAGAAUAUAAUUUAAAAACUUACCUCAAAUCAAUUUGAUAUACCAAUUAAUAAUUAAUAAUUAUACGAUAUUUAGUACGUCCGAACUAAUAUAUCUUUUCAUGAAAACGAACGUCUCUAUUAAUAAAUUUCUUCAAAAAUAUACGAUAUAGUAGAUCAUAUUGUUAUGUAAAGUCCUACUUCCAAAAGACCCAUCAGUAUGAAAUCUAGAAGGCGUGACCUAAAGAUGAAUUUCUCAACAUAUGCAAAUAUUUUCUUAUACUUCUAAUGAUCACACUUAUACAUGUUUUAAUUUUUAAUUGAUAUAACAUAUUUCAUUUGAAAUGUUUUGCUAGAAAGGAAAAAAAAAACUCGAUAUUUCAACCCAGUUUGUGAGCUAAUCAUAAAAUAGUGUUGAUAACAUAAUCUCGAGAAUAACCUUUUUUCAAAAGGUAAAAAAUUAUCAACACCUGGUGUUUACAUCAAGCCAAUACAUACAUGCCAUGUGUUUAAAUUUAGAGUACAUUUUACUUAAUCAUAAUUAAUUAGCUUGUAUUUUAUAUUAGUAAAUUAUUUAAUCAUAAUAAAUUAUAUUAAUUUAGUGUAAACACUAAGUGUGGACAUAUUUUUACCUUUUCAAAAUAGUUUCAAAAAUUUUAUUGAAUAUUUCAGAAUAAAGAGAACAUAUGAAUUCAUUUAUUUGGAUCAAUUUGGAUGUAGAAGAGAACAAACCUCAUGAGGUAGACAUCUAUAAUCAUUAGUCUCAUAGUCCAUUGCCUCCUUAAUACUCCUGCAAGCAUCCACUAUCACCAAAGCAAAUUCCCCUCAAAAUGUCUCAAACUUCAUGUUAUUCUUGUCAACUGUUCGAUGUGUGCUUUCCCAAAAAUCAUCUAAAAAACACAGCCAAAUCAAACAAUAUUCGAUCUAGGUUCACCACUAAAGAAAGAAAAGAAUAGAAAUAAAAUAUGCACAAAUUAAACAAAUUUAGUUUUUAGUUAAGAGAAAAAAAAGCCAGUCAAAAGAUGAACAAUAAAAUUAACCCUAAUAUCUAAGAGUUUAAAAUCAAACUAAUUUUCACCACUUAAAAAAAUAACAUUUCAAUAAUUUUUUUUUUUUUUUUAAAAACCUAUGUUAUAUACUCUAUUCUCACACACCCAAUCUUUCCCUUUCUUCUAACUAUAUUAGAGGAAUAGAAAGCCAAGACUUGGGGAAUGAAGAGAAAGCCAAGAAGAAUAUUAAGACAGAUAAGUGUAGGUUAAGGAGUACCUGAAUUUUCUAAUGUUUUUCAAACAAUGAGGAAGUUCAUAGACAACUUGGUUGUCAAUUCGCUUAGUUGCUGUAUCUGAAGUGCUUAAACCUUGUAUUGAUGAAAUCACAUAAUAUUCAAUGACGAAUUUAAAAUUUUCACUAAGGAGGUUUGAAAACUAAAAAUAUAGUGAUUGAGAUAUGAACUUGAACCUAAAGGUGAAUAUUGAACUUCCUCAACUACUGAUCCAACCUCUAAUCUUACGUUCUAAAGGUUCAAAAUCAAUAAAUACACAUAGAAUAUUUUUUAAAAAUUCUAUUGAAUACGUGCCAUGAACCUAGCCAAAAAUUUGUUGGACAACAUUACAAUAAUUUCAAUCAAAUAAUCACAAAAUAAAAAUAAAUUAAAUCAGAAGAUGAAAAAAAAAAUUCACAACAAUUGACAUAUAAAAACAAUUAAAAUAGUACAUGAAAAUUCGUUUCUUACUUCAUUAUUGAAUACUUUUUCUUUGAAAUCAAGAGACACUAAUAAGGCCACGAAGAAAAUUUAUUAUCAUAUAUUGACCAUGAGAAAAAAAAAAAAACACAAACGAUUAUUAUGACCAUUAGGGUAUUAUAUUGAAAGUCCAAAAUAUAACCCUAUCAAUUAGGAUUUCUAUUUAAAAUAUAUAAUUAAUUUCUUUUCAUAAUUUCAUUUUAUAAGGUUGUUCUCAUAUAUUGUAGGAGUCCUUAAUCUUUUUAUUUUAGUUAUAAUAUUUAAUUCAAAUAAGGAAAGAAUUUGUAUAAAACAUAAGUUUAAAUUGAUAAAAAUCCUAUUCAAGUAAGGAAAGAAAUUCUAAAUUGAUUAAAAUCCUAAAAUUUAGAAGUAGUUUAAAUAAGGAAAAUUUUUUAAACUAAAAGUUAUUAGGACAAGAAUUUAAUUAAAAAUUUAUUUGAUAUAAAUAAGUUUCCCAACGUACCCUAAUUAUUUUUUUUUUUUGGGGAGAAAAACAGAAAUCAAAGUAAAAAAUUCAAUUGAGUUAAAAGUGUUAAAUAAUGAUUUAUUUUUGGAACUAAAAUCAUAAUAAACGUACAGUAGUUUUUUCAAAACUUUAAGUGAGAUUUUCUUUUUCUUUUUUACUUAAAGUUUUCUAUUAAAUCAUUUUUUGUUCUCUUAUCAUAUAUUUUAGGACUUUUUUCUCUAUAUAUUUUUAUUUUAUCAUAUAAUUUAGCUCUCCUUGCUUUUAAAUAUUAAAAGUAUAAUUAUAUAAUAAUUUAAGGAAAAUAGUGAAAAGACAAUUUCGUCUAUUGCAUAGUAUUUUAAUGAAGGACAAAAAGUUCAAAUCAUUUUUCUAAGGGCCUUCACACUUUUAAUAUACUAGUCCAGUGUACGUGCUUUGCACGUACAUCACGUCAAUAAAAAAAUCACCUACAAAAAGAUAAAAUAUAUAAUAUGUAAUUGCAAUUACAAUAUAGUAUGCAACAUUAUAUUUAUUUAAAUGAGCAAAAUAUAUAAAAUUUUAGAAUCUGACUUAAACCCAAAACACUAAAGAAUUAUACUUUACAUCCUAAAUAUUCAUAUCUACAGCAUAAAUUAAUGCAAUAAAAGUUGAGAUUAAAAAAAAUAAAUUUGAGACAAAAAUUAACGUAGUAAAAAUUAGUCGAAGAAGAGAAUGUGAAAUUAUAAUGGUAUUUUUUUUUUAUAAAAGUAUAGGAUUCAUAAAUUAAAAAAGAUACUAAUUAACAUUAUAGUAGAAUUUUUAUAUUUUAGCCAAUAUUUUUUUCCUUUACUGGAAGAACCAAAAACAAAAACAAUCGUACCACAUUUUUUUUUCUUUGGGGUAAAGUAAACGACCCCUUUUUAUUUUACAAAAUCAUAAAUAAUCGGGCUUUUAGUUUUUUGAAAAAUAGUCAUGCACACAAUAAAACACCAAAUAAAUUUUUUACCAUAAAUUUAGAAUUUUUUAUUUAUUUAUUAUAUCCAAUAUUCAAUAUAUUAUAAAUUAAAGAGAGAAAAAAGUAAAAAACAAUUUUGUCUGAAGCAGAGACUUUUAAUGAGGUGAAAAAUGUUCAAAUCACUUUUCUAUUCUUGGGAAGAGUAAAUGGGGCUUUUAUUUUUUUUGGAAAAUUGUCCUGCACAUAAAACACCAAAUAACAAUUUUACCAUAAAUUUAGCAAUUCAUUUAUUUUUUAUUUAUUUAUUGUAGCCGAUAUUCAAUAUAUUAUAAAUUAAAGAGAGAAAAAAGUAAAAAGACGAUUUUAUUUAAAAUAAAGACUUUUAAUGAGGGGCAAAAAGUUCAAAUCACUUUUCUAAGGGUCUUCACACUUUUAGUAUAUUAUAGAUUAUAGAUGUAUAUGAUAUACAUAUUUGUCUUUUCAAAAUAAAAGUUAGAGAUAGUAGGGUAAAAAAACGAAAAAACCGAAAAAAACAAAAAGAAAAAAAGAAAAAAAAAACGAAAAAAGAAAAGUGAAAAAGAAAAAAAAGGAAAAAGAGAAACUGAAGUGUAAAAAAAAAAAUUAAAAAAUUUAAAAAAAAAAUAGAAAAAAGAAUAAAACGAAAAUAGAAAAAGAAAAAAAAGAUAUGAGAAAGGAAAAAAAAAAGAGAAAAUAAAGUGGAAAUAAAAAAAUGAAAAAGAAAAAGAAAUCAAAAUAAAAAAAUAAAAUGAUAAAAUGAUAAAAAAGUAGGAUGAAAAAAAACUAAGAAAAAAAGGAAGAUAUACAAGAGAGUGAAAGACAAUAAUGAUGUUUUAUUUUGAAAUCUUGAAGAUCAUGGAGAUAAUUAUCUUUAAAUAUGAAAAAAAAAAACGAAAAAAGAAAAAAAGAAGAAGAGAAAUAGAAGAAAAAAAAUAAAGUGGAAAUAAAAAAAAAAUAAAAUAAAAAAAUAAAAUGAUAAAAAAUAAGAUGAAAAAAAAGGAUAAAAAAUAUGAUUAUAUUUAGGGGAGAUGGAAUAGUGGAGUGAAAAUAGAAAAAUGUAAAGAAGUGAGAGUAAAACAUGCACUUGUCUCAUGAGUAAAAUAAUGCUAAUUUGCUAUAAAUUAUAAUUUUAUAAAAAUAUUGCUAUUUAUUAUAAUUAUAAUCUUAAGUAUGCUACUUUUUGUAAUUUUUUUCUUUCAAAUCUGGCCAGCUUUUGGGCCUAUUUCUUAUGGACUUUUGGUCCAUUUCUGGAAUGCAUACAAACUGCACAUCAGACUUGCUGCUGCUUUAUGCAUACACACUAUAUAUCAGUGUAUUAAAAACUGAUAUCCUCGCUUCUGAUGCUCUUAUACGCUAUAUACCAGCAAUAUUUGACCUGCAAGUCCCGUAUAUUUACUGUAUAUCAACGUAUAUCCACCUUGUUUCUUCACGCUAGUCCCUUUGGGUCUUAGUCUCGGAGAGCUGCAGGGAUGGGAGUCCCCAUUGGACUCGUUAGGAAAAAGUUCAUGCACAAGAGAUAAAAGAAUAAGGAUUAGUACGCGUCUACUAAUAAUAUGAC
rnacentral:lncRNA from 1 species